CUCUCUCUCUCACGCCACUCUCUCUCUCACAUACCAACUCUCUCUCUUUCUCAUGUUCAUACCACCAUUGCUGCUAUGCUGCCAAACCCAUUGAAAAAUUCUAUCACUAUGUUGGUCCUUAUUUGGCCAUCAUCUCUUUUAGUGUCUUUACUGAGUACCCUCCUUGAAAAGAAAGGCAGUGACCAAGUCUUUGGUCUUGCUCUCCCCAAACUGCUUUCCUC
rnacentral:lncRNA from 1 species